UUCCAGCUCCAAUAGCGUAUAUUUAAGUUGCUGCAGUUAAAAAGCUCGUAGUUGGAUUCGGGGUGGGGCCUGCCGGUCCGCCGUUCGGUGUGCACUGGCCGGGCCACCUUGUUGCCGGGGACGAGCUCCUGGGCUUUAUUGUCCGGGACUCGGAGUCGGCGAGGUUACUUUGAGUAAAUUAGAGUGUUCAAAGCAGGCCA
rnacentral:rRNA from 1 species